AUCAUAUCCCACCUCUACUCUCUCUAUUUCUCUCUCACGUCCUAAACAAGGGGUGUAACAGUACACCCGCAAGAAAAUUUGGAUUGUUUUUUCAGGAAGAAAACUUGGGACAGCCAUGAACAGGUUGUGGGAUAAGAAGGGAAACACUAAACGCCAACCCGGAGGAGAGGAAGGAGCUACUCCAAUACAAGCAACCGAUGACAGCACGGUGAAUGGUGUUCCGAAGUAUGAUUUUAAAGUACUAGCACAAGCAACUGGUUAUUUCUCCAAUAAAAACCGCCUUGGUCAGGGAAGUGUUGGUCAAGUUUAUAAGGGAAUACUUCCAAAUGAUAACAAAGUUGUUGCAGUCAAGAGGCUUAUUCAUCAUUCUGAUCCGGAGAUAGAGAAAUUGGCACAACUGCAAUUUGAGGUUGAGGUUGAAACCCUUAGCCACAUCCGUCACCGGCAUAUUGUGAACGUGGUAGGAUACUGCAGUGAUGAAGCUGAUAGAGUGCUUGUUUAUGAGUUUGUUUCUAACAAUUCAUUAAAAUCUCAUCUGAAUGGAAAGGGGAAAACAUCACAGGAAACGGAAACCCAGACAAUUGAUUGGUCAAACAGGAUGAAAAUUGCUUUGGGUACCGCAAAAGGAUUGGCAUAUUUGCA
rnacentral:misc_RNA from 1 species